rnacentral:rRNA from 1 species
AACGAACGCUGGCGGCAGGCUUAACACAUGCAAGUCGGACGAGAAAGUUUCUUCGGAAGCGAGUAGAGUGGCAGACGGGUGCGUAACACGUGGGAAUCUACCUUUUAGUAUGGAACAACAGUUGGAAACGACUGCUAAUACCGUAUAUUACCUUAGGGUGAAAGCUUUAUGCGCUAAAAGAUGAGCCCGCGCUCGAUUAGCUAGUUGGUAGGGUAAGAGCCUACCAAGGCUACGAUCGAUAGCUGGUCUGAGAGGAUGAUCAGCCACACUGGGACUGAGACACGGCCCAG